rnacentral:misc_RNA from 1 species
AAGUCGUAACAAGGUUUCCGUAGGUGAACCUGCGGAAGGAUCAUUAACACGCUUUAUUAUCCAAUAAAUAUUCAAAACCAAACGGACACUUUUUUUCUCCCUACAUCGUUACCAGAGAUGGUACGAUUAGGCUAACACUUUAUUUUCAAUAAACCCCAUUAAAAAUAAUUAACUAUUCGUUUUUUUCUUAAAAACGAACUAACUAAAAUAUACAUUGAUAUAUUUUUAUUUUACGAAAUAAUUUAUAUUUAUUAAGAACAACUCUUAGCAAUGGAUAUCUUGGUUCUC